UGCAGGUGUCAGCUGGCUGAAGGUCACCUUUGGAAGUCAGCUGUGUGGAUAUUCAUGACUUGAAGCUGGAUGUGUGUGUGUGUGUGUGUGUGUGUGUGUGUGUGUGUGUGAAUGCGUCCACAGACAUUCCUCACGGGAUGGCAGAUGGCAUGUGUCUAUGAGUGCAAAUGGGAGGUUUCGAAUAGAGUGUGUCUAUGAGUGCAAAUGGGAGGUUUCGAAUGGAGUGUGUCUGCGUGUGUGAAUGGGAGCAUUCGGACGUGGUCCAGGUAAGUAGUGUUGUGGCUGGGAAAUACGUGCUCAGCGGGUGGCAGAUGCCAUCCUCUGGGCGCAGGGUGAAUGGAACCAGUGGAUAUUCAUGGGCAGAAACCAGCAGAAGUUGACCAGGACGUCCGGGGUGAAGUUGCCAGGCAGCAGCCAGUGGAGGGUCUGGCUGAGGCUGCUGGACGGAGGCCAUCCCACUCAACGUGUUGUUUGCCUUCCAGGAAGCCGGUGAGGUUUUCCCCAAGACCGACCGUGAAAGUAAUGAAGAGAACAGCAGGACUGAAGCAAGGCAGUUUAUUUUCAUCAUCAUCAUCAUCAUUUAUUUAUAUCCCGCCCUCCCCAGCCGAAGCCGGGCUCAGAGUGGCUAACAAUAAAAGUAAUGCAACAUUCUAAAA